GUCAAGUUGCAUCAUAAGGUUGCAUCUGAUUGGUUUAUUCUUGGUACCGGAAAUCCUGAUCUACAGGUAUAGACACCUGAUUUCUUAAAAAAACAAUACAAGUCACU